rnacentral:rRNA from 1 species
AUUCCAGCUCCAAUAGCGUAUAUUUAAGUUGCUGCAGUUAAAAAGCUCGUAGUUGGAUUUCGGGUGGGAAUGGCCGGUCCGCCGUUUCGGUGUGCACUUGCUAGUCCCACCUUGCUGCCGGGGACGUGCUCUUGGGUUUCGGCUCGGGACACGGAGUCGGCGAGGUUACUUUGAGUAAAUUAGAGUGUUCAAAGCAGGCCUACGCUCUGAAUACAUUAGCAUGGAAUAACACGAUAGGACUCUGGCCUAUCUUGUUGGUCUGUAGGACCGGAGUAAUGAUUAAGAGGGACAGUCGGGGGCAUUCGUAUUUCAUUGUCAGAGGUGAAAUUCUUGGAUUUAUGAAAGACGAACUACUGCGAAAGCAUCUGCCAUGGAUGUUUUCAUCG